rnacentral:rRNA from 1 species
CUACGGGAUGCUCCAGUGGGGAAUAUUGCACAAUGGGCGCAAGCCUGAUGCAGCCAUGCCGCGUGUAUGAAGAAGGCCUUCGGGUUGUAAAGUACUUUCAGCGGGGAGGAAGGGAGUAAAGUUAAUACCUUUGCUCAUUGACGUUACCCGCAGAAGAAGCACCGGCUAACUCCGUGCCAGCAGCCGCGGUAAUACGGAGGGUGCAAGCGUUAAUCGGAAUUACUGGGCGUAAAGCGCACGCAGGCGGUUUGUUAAGUCAGAUGUGAAAGCCCCGGGCUCAACCGGGGAACUGCAUCUGAUACUGGCAAGCUUGAGUCUCGUAGAGGGGGGUAGAAUUCCAGGUGUAGCGGUGAAAUGCGUAGAGAUCUGGAGGAAUACCGGUGGCGAAGGCGGCCCCCUGGACGAAGACUGACGCUCAGGUGCGAAAGCGUGGGGAGCAAACAGGAUUAGAUACCCGGGUAGUC